UCCCUACGACGUUCACCCAUGGUUAAUCAUUUCAAUUGCCGCAGUCGUGCCUCUUUGUGUCUCAGCUGAACAACCGAAAACAAGUACUCCACAGAAGAAGACAGGCCCAUGGAAGUUCAUGAAUACUGGUGUCAUUUACCUAAACUUGACUACGAUGAACACAUCUGGAAUAUUGUGCAAA